rnacentral:misc_RNA from 1 species
CUGAACUGUCGACACGAGCUGUUGCUGGCCCUCGAAAGGGGGCACGUGCACGCUCUGUUUACACAUCCACUCACACCUGUGCACCCUCUGUAGUUCUAUGGCCUCGGGGACCCUGUCCCCUUGCUGUGGUCCUACGUAUUUACACACACACACCGUAACAAAGUCUCAUGGAAUGUAUGUCGCGUUUAACGCAAUGCAAUA